CAAGUCGAACGGUGAAAGCGGAGCUUGCUCCGCUGGAUCAGUGGCGAACGGGUGAGUAACACGUGGGCAACCUGCCCCUGACUUUGGGAUAACUCCUCGAAAGAGGAGCUAAUACCGGAUACGAACUCCUUGGGCAUCCUUGGAGUUGGAAAGUUUUUCGGUCAGGGAUGGGCCCGCGGCCUAUCAGCUAGUUGGUGAGGUAACGGCUCACCAAGGCGACGACGGGUAGCCGGCCUGAGAGGGCGACCGGCCACACUGGGACUGAGACACGGCCCAGACUCC
rnacentral:rRNA from 2 species